rnacentral:lncRNA from 10 species
GUGAGGGUCUGUCUCUAACCCGGUGGGCUCCAGUGAAAGGAAAAUGGCCUGGAGGUGCCCACAGGAGGGCGCCCUAGUUCUGAGACAGGUCUACGGCUCCCAGACUGCGUCCCCAUGAGUAACAGAGGGACACGCAGAGGGGCAUACUGAGUGCCUAUAGGGGACUCACAGACUGCAGAUGCACGCUGCGGAUCCAGAAGCCGGUCAGCGCACACAACCAAGCUUAGGAGCCGACUGUUAAGAUGCCCCAGUGACACGGACAAGUUUCUCCUCUGCAACCCAAUGAGAGCUGCUGACCACGAGAGCAUCGCGGGACCGCCAAAGGAUUCUGGAAAAUGUGGUCCCGGGUGGCCAGUGUGCGCUGACCUUCACCUGAAGGUACGGCUUGAAGGAAACUUCUGGAGGGUGGGGUGGUGUUGAAGAGAAGGCACAAUUGUCACCAUUUUGUUCAACAUGGGCGUUUUCUUUGUGCAUUGAUUUGCAUUUUUAAAGGAACUCCUCCUCAAAACAGAAGAAGCCUAUAGGAUUUUAACCUGGAAACUACUCAGGGAAUCUGGAAUAUUCCUUCCAGGGAUAUCUGCAGCUGAAACCUGGCAGUAAUUUAAACAAAACCAGACAACUCUUGGGGUAUGGUUGGAGCCUGAGGUCUACAGAUGGGUCAUUUUAUAUGCUGAGGUCUGAACAAGAUGAUUUUAACCCCUUAAAAUGAUGGAAACAAAAUAAAACAGAAUAAAUUAGAAGACAACACAGGUGAGUAGUUUAAAG